GAUGAACGCUGGCGGCGUGCCUAAUACAUGCAAGUCGAGCGAACAGACGAGGAGCUUGCUCCUUUGACGUUAGCGGCGGACGGGUGAGUAACACGUAGGUAACCUACCUAUAAGACUGGGAUAACUUCGGGAAACCGGAGCUAAUACCGGAUAAUAUUUCGAACCGCAUGGUUCGAUAGUGAAAGAUGGCUUUGCUAUCACUUAUAGAUGGACCUGCGCCGUAUUAGCUAGUUGGUAAGGUAACGGCUUACCAAGGCAACGAUACGUAGCCGACCUGAGAGGGUGAUCGGCCACAAUGGAACUGAGACACGGUCCAGACUCCUACGGGAGGCAGCAGUAGGGAAUCUUCCGCAAUGGGAGAAAGCCUGACGGAGCAACGCCGCGUGAGUGAUGAAGGUCUUCGGAUCGUAAAACUCUGUUAUUAGGGAAGAACAAACGUGUAAGUAACUGUGCACGUCUUGACGGUACCUAAUCAGAAAGCCACGGCUAACUACGUG
rnacentral:rRNA from 1 species